GUGGGGAAUCUUCCGCAAUGGACGAAAGUCUGACGGAGCAACGCCGCGUGAGUGAAGAAGGUUUUCGGAUCGUAAAGCUCUUUCGUUAGGGACGAACGUGCUCUUUGUGAAUAAUGAGGAGUAAUGACGGUACCUAAAUAAGAAGCCACGGCUAACUACGUGCCAGCAGCCGCGGUAAUACGUAGGUGGCAAGCGUUGUCCGGAAUUAUUGGGCGUAAAGCGCGCGCAGGCGGGAUAUCAAGUCUGUCUUAAAAGUGCGAGGCUCAACCUCGUGAGGGGACAGAAACUGGUAUUCUUGAGUGUCGGAGAGGAAAGUGGUAUUCCAAGUGUAGCGGUGAAAUGCGUAGAGAUUUGGAAGAACACCAGUGGCGAAGGCGACUUUCUGGACGAUGUCUGACGCUGAGGCGCGAAAGCUAGGGGAGCGAACGGGAUUAGAAACCUGGUAGUCC
rnacentral:rRNA from 1 species